GGGGGGAUCCUGAGUGCUUACACAUUUGUGUAAGCUUUUGCCAAGAGUUCACAUCUUGGAGAAUAAGUGGUGGGUAAGACCGGUGCCAGCAGCCGCGGUAACCCCGGCGCCACGAGUGGCAAUCUUAUAUUGGGCCUAAAGCAUUCGUAGCCGGAUUAAAAAAUCUCUUGUGAAAUUGUCGAACUCAAUACGACAGCAUGCAGGAGACACUUUUAGUCUAGAGACUGGGAGGUGUUGGGAGUAUGCCUAGGGGAGCGGUUAAAUGUGAUAAUCCUAGGUAGACUACCUGUGGCGAAGGCGCCCAACAAGAACAGUUCUGACGGUGAGGGAUGAAAGCUAGGGGAGCGAUCCGGAUUAGAUACCCAAGUAGUCCUAGCUGUAAACACUGUGAGCUAGGUGUCGCAUAUUCUACGAGAAUAUGCGGUGUCGAAAAGAAGUUGAUAAGCUCGCCGCCUGGGAAGUACGGUCGCAAGACUGAAACUUAAAGGAAUUGGCGGGGGAAUACACCAGGAGUGCGGCGUGCGGUUUAAUCUAACUCAACGCAGAACACCUUACUAGAAGCGACGGCAGGAUGAAGAUCAGUCUGAAGGGCUUAUCUGACGAGCCGAGAGGUAGUGCAUGGCCGCCGUCAGCUCGUGUCGUAAGAUGUCCUGUUAAGUCAGGCAACGAGCAAGACCUGUACCUAUAAUUGCUAACGGGCCCUUCGGGGUGACUGAGCACAUUAUAGGGACUGCCUUCGUAAGGAGGAGGAAGGUGCAGGCAACGGUAGGUCUGUAUGCUCCGAAUCUUCUAGGCUACACGCGCGCAACAGUGGUAAAGACAAUGGGAUGCAACUCCGUAAGGAGAAGCUAAUCCUCGAAACUUUAUCGUAGUAUAGAUUGUGGGUUGCAACUCACCCACAUGACAACGGAAUUCCUAGUAAUCAGACUUCAUCAUAGUCUGGUGAAUAUGUCCCUG
rnacentral:rRNA from 1 species